CGUCUCACGUGCUCUCUCUACUUCUCUACUUCAUUCUUUUAAUUUUGCUCCUCCUUAUCAUUCUUGGCCGAUCUUCACCUCAUCUUCAUACAAAUCUCAGUGAGGAAAAGGAGGUAAGGAGCCUUGCAGCUUUGGGUGUUAUUUAUGUAGUUAAACGCACAUGGAGCUAGAAGAUUGAGAUUGCAAAAUAGGGUUGAAAUUGUUCAAUGGGUAAUUUAAGGAGGAGGAAAGGUAGCGGGUGAUCCUGUGAAACAAAAUAUGCACUUGACAUUUUCUACACAUGUAGAUGGACAAUGAAGCCAGUCAUCAACCAAAACUGGAAGGUUUAAGGACAAGGUGGACGCCAUCCAUCAACAAGAUAUUUGCAGACUUGGUUGUUAAGUAUAUACAACUUUUGAAAGAGCAAAUUAGUUUAAGUUGUUGAGAAAAUGUAGCUACAAUGUAUGGAUUCUAAUGUGUUAUUAUAGAGUUUUUAGCCAAAACAAAGUUAUUAGCAAAACUUGAUUCUAUGGCGAAACUUAAUUCAUUCAUGCUUGGACUUCAUUUGUAUGUUAAAAGUUAA